UACAGAGGUCUCAAGCGUUGUUCGGAUUCAUUGGGCGUAAAGGGGUGCGUAGGCGGCGCGGUAAGUCGGGUGUGAAAUCUUGGAGCUUAACUCCGAAACUGCAUUCGAUACUGCCGUGCUUGAGGACUGGAGAGGAGACUGGAAUUUACGGUGUAGCGGUGAAAUGCGUAGAUAUCGUAUGGAAGACCAGUGGCGAAGGCGGGUCUCUGGACAGUUCCUGACGCUGAGGCACGAAGGCCCAGGGGGAGCAAAACGGG
rnacentral:rRNA from 1 species